ACACGUAUCCACGUAUCAACCCCUCUGCGAAAACGAAGAAACAGAAGGCGUGUUCUGAGUGUGUCGUCGGUUGUCCUAAUGAUGGCGGAGCUUGCUCCGGGGACAUAUAAUCACGGCAUGCGUUCGAGGAAUCGCCGCUUUUUUUCCCAUCAUUAGCCCUUUUCCAUUUUUAACCCCUUGUACUUCUUAUGUACUGAACCAAUUCUUUCGAUGCUCGCAAGAGCGACGAAAAGAUAUUACGAAACUAAAAGAA
rnacentral:misc_RNA from 1 species